CGCCCGGCGCGGGAGCGGAGCGGAGCGGGACGCCGAGUCCGGAGCGGCCGGCGGCCGGGGCUCCCCGCCCCUCCCUCCUCUCCGGCGGCGGCGGCGGGCGGAGUGAGCUGCGGAGCCUGGAAUAUGGUCGGGGAAAUGGAAACGAAGGAGAAGCCGAAGCCCACCCCAGAUUACCUGAUGCAGCUGAUGAACGACAAGAAGCUCAUGAGCAGCCUGCCCAACUUCUGCGGGAUCUUCAACCACCUCGAGCGGCUGCUGGACGAAGAAAUUAGCAGAGUACGGAAAGACAUGUACAAUGACACAUUAAAUGGCAGUACAGAGAAAAGGAGUGCAGAAUUGCCUGAUGCUGUGGGACCUAUUGUUCAGUUACAAGAGAAACUUUAUGUGCCUGUAAAAGAAUACCCAGAUUUUAAUUUCGUUGGGAGAAUCCUUGGACCUAGAGGACUUACUGCUAAACAGCUUGAAGCAGAAACAGGAUGUAAGAUAAUGGUCCGAGGCAAAGGCUCAAUGAGGGAUAAAAAGAAGGAGGAGCAAAAUCGAGGCAAGCCUAAUUGGGAGCAUCUCAAUGAAGAUUUACAUGUACUGAUCACUGUGGAAGAUGCUCAAAACAGAGCAGAGAUCAAACUGAAGAGAGCCGUUGAGGAGGUGAAGAAAUUACUGGUACCUGCAGCGGAGGGAGAAGACAGCCUGAAGAAGAUGCAACUGAUGGAGCUUGCAAUUCUCAAUGGCACCUACAGAGAUGCCAACAUUAAAUCACCAGCCCUUGCCUUUUCUCUUGCAGCCACAGCCCAGGCCGCUCCAAGGGUUAUCACGGGGCCUGCGCCCGUUCUCCCGCCAGCUGCCCUGCGCACCCCUACGCCAGCUGGCCCUACCAUAAUGCCUUUGAUCAGACAGAUACAGACCGCUGUCAUGCCAAACGGAACUCCUCACCCAGCUGCUGCGAUAGUCCCUCCAGGGCCCGAAGCUGGUUUAAUCUACACGCCCUAUGAAUACCCCUACACGUUGGCGCCAGCUACAUCGAUCCUUGAGUACCCUAUUGAACCUAGCGGUGUAUUAGGUAUGGCUUUCCCAACGAAAGGCUAAGAAUUCAAGAACGGUCUUAACUGAACCCUCAUCAGAUCUGAAUUUAACAAAUGCUUAGUCUCAGCAGCCUCCAGGGGGUGGGAGGGACGCUUAGCCUAGCAGUCAGUGACUGACUUGCACUUUUGCACACUGAUAGAAAGGAAAAGUAUGUUAUUAAUUGGUUUAGGCUGUAAUCUUACAAAGUAACGGUAAUUUAUAAAGGAGUGUAUAGUAGUAUACUGACUGCUAAGUGUACUAUACUGUUUGCUUUACUAAUCACCUAAUUCAUUGCAGUUCAUACUUAUUGACUCAAAGUUUAGAACCACAAUCUGUAGGCUUUAAGAAUUGCUUUUAAACCUUCUUAAGUGAUAGACUCUGGAAGUGGUCUUACGGUUAGCAAAUAAUUGUCAGUAUUAAACAUGGCAUUAUUUAAGUAGUCCUGCUGCAAGAAAGGCACUUCAGUGAAUAUGUGACUAGUAAAGCUUAACCAUGUUUGGAUCUAAUAGAGUUCAUGAAAUCUGUAACUUGGGAUUGUAAAUGAAUGGAUAAAAUAGGUUAAGGCCAAGAUUAUUGAAAUGAAUGCAAUAUUAAUAGAUGCAUAUAUACGCAACAUAUUAUGGUUAAUUUUAAGACUACUGUGCCUUAACAUGUUUCCUAAAAGAAAACUUUUGCAGUAAACGAACAUUUGAAAUCCAUUUUGAUAAACCUGCUGUUAAUGUUUGUUUUCUUUUCCCUUGUGAAUGUUCUCUAACUUUGUCUUGGUAAUUGCAAUUUAACUAGGUGCGGUGGCUACUAAAGUUCGAAGGCACGAUAUGCGUGUCCAUCCUUACCAAAGGAUUGUGACCGCAGACCGAGCCGCCACCGGCAACUAACCUAUGACCUUCUGACCUCUGAACUCUUCACCCAAUGAUGACCUGACCAUGCCUGCCUGCUGAUCAGUUAACUGGUAAUCGCCUUUGCUUGCCUGUCGUCAGUGCAGCGAGCUGAGGCACUUGUCCGUUCGUCUUACCAUCUAACCAAACAAAAGACAAAGAAAUUGUCCUCCAACUCAGCUUUUGGUUUUUUUGUUUUUUUUGUUUUUUUUCUUUUUUCUGUUUGGGUGAAAGUGGUUCUAGAACCUGCACUGAAUAGUAGUAAAGCAAUAAGGCCCAAUUCAUCCCACAGCACUGAUCAUCUUUUAAUGUCCCGCCCUAAGCGAACGGUAAGAAGGCCUCACUUCAGAAGGGGAGACAUGGCCCUUAACUACUCAGUGACAGAGGCAGUUACUGUGAGAGACUUCUAGGAAUCUUUUCUUCUCAUAGCGAGUCAAAGCUCUCUGAAUGUACUGUGUGAUGAUGCAUCAUGCAUGAACCUUUGGUCAGGGAUGUCAUUGGUGAAGUGAUUUCAAAAAGUAUUCAAAAUUUGAUACGCUGUUUAGUCACUACAGUGCCCUCAAAGGGCAGAAGUUGCAGCCUUUUUUAUAUUGCCUGCCAAAAUUUGAAGUAUUAGAAGUGUGCCAUGAGAGAAAAACUUAAGGAAUUUUGAAAAGUAAUGCAAAGAACAAAACUGCAACACUAUUUUUAAAAAGAUAAAUAUCUGAGUUAAAAUUACUGAACCUUUAUUUUACACCUCCUUUAAAAAAUAUACGAGAACAAGGUACAUGCAUUAUGUGUCACAUUACUGGGCAAACUGUUCAAAUAUUUUUUUUAAACCUCCCUGUAUAGAAAAAAAUCAUUAAGGAUGUAAAAGCCAUGCUUGCCUAUUUGCUGUAUACAUGUAAUGAAAUUGUAGAUAAAGUGUAGUGCAUUGAAACAAAUGAACAAAAAGUAGAUACUUUUACUAUACAAGGGUGCUGGUGCAGAAAAAAUAUAUAUAUUUUUGGAAAUGUAGCAUUUUAUACUUUCAAGUGUUAUAAAAAAAAAUAGAACAAAGAAACCCUUUAUUUCAUGAAAUGAUUUUUUCUGGUGGUUGUCAAGAAACAAAAGACCAAAAGAGCCUUUUUGUCUUUUUUUUAUUUUUUAAGUAUUGGAAUAAGUCUAAAGAAAAGAAAGUGCCUUAUUUUCCUUCAUGGUCAUUUAGUCAACUGUCUUGUAAGAUCAGCUCCUCCCUCAGAAUACAAGUUAAUGCAUGUUACUCAGUCGCCCAGUAUGUGAAAGAAGAUGUGAGGGGAGACAAAUGAGUUGAUGGUUUGAAUUAUAUGAUUUUUGCCACGUUACCUUGAUAUAAAUUUGCCAAAUCUGAUACUGUGAAAAAAUUUGGUAACUUUUCUAAUGCCUAGCAAGUAAGUUUCAAAACAUUCUUUUAAAAUCAUAAUUGAGUGCUUUUGGUUAUUGCAAUAUUUAAUGUUAGUCCAAAGGAUUCUGAAAUAAAAAUUAUGUGUGAUCUGAACACCACUUUACAAAAUUAGAGCUCUAUUUUGUUGGGGGCGGGGGGAGGGGGGUAUUGGAUUUUGUAUUAUUAAUUGGAGAUAAUAAUAGUAUAUUAGCAACCUUUUUCACAAAAACGAAUCUUUGUGCUUUUCAUUCUGGAAAACAAGGUUUUUAAAUGAACCAAAUUUAAUCAGACUUCUUUCUACCAUACCAGAUCACUUGGGUAGUCCAUCUCUGCUGGUUUUAGUAACCUAAGCCAACAACGCCCCUUUUUAACUUUAAAAGAAUGUGAAAAACUAGCAUCGUUGUGCAUAUAAUACUCAACUACAUGUGAGUUUAAACUUCCAAUUUCUUAUGAAGUUCAGUUUUGUAGUUGAAGCAAUUUGUGCACAAAGCCUACAUCUAAACUCUUAAGUAAUCAUUAACUGCUCAGUACCAGAUGUGGCAAAUAUCAAGUGGCGGUGGCUCCCCAGCUCGUCAGCUCCUUCCCUCUUACAUACCUUCACAGCUUCACAGUCAAAGGUCAGCAGUAAGCUCAGUAAGCACCUUGGUGGUGACCUCCUCCAUCAUCUUGUCUCACUUGGAAGCCGUUUUCAGUUUAUUUACUAUGCAAUAGACAUUCAUUGUUCUGUAUUCAGCUAGCUUUAGUUUAACAUGCCACUGCUUUGUCUUUCUGUUACACAUAACAGUUGUUUUGAUUUAUUUACAAUAUAUGCUGUGCCAUUUUGAUUUUUAUUUUGUUUGGUUGGUUGAAUAAAUUUGCGACACUCAAAACACUUGAGGUGAUAGUUUAAAAACGAUACCAGUAUUUGAUUUAGUUUCAUCUCAACUAUGUUAUACCUGGACAUUUUAGAUGUUUAUCAAAGGUCUUUUAUGGGGAAGAAAGUAAAUGUAUGAGAUAAAUGUGUGACAUUUAUGAGUAAUGUUGGCUCUGAACAAACGUUUGAAAACUUAGUUGACGAAAUUUUGGAUCAACUGAAAAAAAGCAUGACUUUUGAAAUCUCUGAAUGCCUUGGUUCUCAGUAUUAUCAAUUCUUUAUUGAAUUUAUUUCUUAUUAAAAUAUGUAGUUUUUAAGACUUUUUUUUCUGACAGUAUUAUGUAAUUUUUUAGUGCGGGUAGAUGGGAGUGUCGCUUGUAUGUUACCGUACAGCUGACAUGUAUUUUUGUCUAUUCUUUAUUAUCUCAGUAGUUUCAUGCUAUCUAUGUAUCAUAACCAACCUAUUGCCUAUGAGAAACAUGUAAGAUAAUGUAUUUACAGCCAUUGUUACAAGUUUAUAAUGUAUUUUUCUAUCUUGUUUUAUAUGUAUGUUAUAUAACAUUCAAAAAGAAUUUUUUUCUUGAUUGAGAAAAGGAUACAAAAUGCAAAAUCCACAAUUUUGAUAACUGAAAAUUGCCAAUUGUUUUGCAGUACUUUAUUAUAUUGGGUGUCUUGUCUUUCUUGGGCUUUUAGUUAGCUAAUGAAUGAAUACAUUAGACACUUUCGGGUUUUAGUUGGGAUUUUACAUAGCUUGCAUUUUAAUUCUUUGGUUCUUUGCUGUUUCUAUUAACCCAUAGCAUUAUUUUAAUAAAUGUUAUAAUACCAACCUACUAACUCUGGACUAUGUCUGUUUAUUAACCUUUACGUGUUUAAUUAAAAUAAACAAAUAAAGACAAAGGAAUGUAAAGUCUUGAAUUCCUGGACUAACCCUGAAGAACGUGACCACAGAUAACAUAGCGUGACUUGUUUUUAUGUUGUUUGUCAGCUGACAGUUCCGCACACUACUGUUAAAAUGGCUUUGGUUAUCCUGGGCUUUUACUUCGGGGUGGGGGGGGUAGGUAGGUGCCAGUAGAGACGGGAACAAAGUAGUGUUGGCUUGAGGCGUUCUUCUAGUCUCGCCACUUGCCUUUCAGCCUCUGCAUUACUAAUUCCACCAUUUCUUAUUUUUCCUUCUCCAAAAUAAUCACUGUCUGCUCACAGCAUAAAGAGUAAAGAGAUUCGUCAUAAUGAUUGAUAUACCCGAGAAACCAGUUUGAUUCUUUGUUGAACCAUUUUUUGAAAUUUCUAUAAGUAGAUAAUUUUAUGGUCACAUAAAGCAAAGAAUCUGAUGAUGUCUUACCUUUAUUCAGAUCUGUGUUUUAAUUGGACAUUUUUCCUUUAUAGAGAAGUCUUGAACUGUUUUAGCCAGCUGCUCCUGUUAGAGGGGCUAAACCCAGGUAAAGCCAAAGGCAGAGUGGCUCUGUGUCUCAGGACAGCCCAGAGUAAGCGUUCACAACAACCACAAACCCACCUCUCCUCGUGGAACCCUCAGCAAGAGAUCAAACAGCGUCACUUAGCUUUAUGUCUCACCCUGUUACAAAAUACAGUCAGAAUACAUUAAUAUAAGAAGUUUAAGGGAGAAGAAUAAUUAAUAGCAUUUGAAAAGUUAUAUCAUGGUUUGCAUGCAGGUCAAUUUAAGAAGAUCUAUUAAAUAUCUUCAUGCUUUUCUUGGCUGCAGCCUAGGUAAAUUGACCUCUACUUACCAAUUCUUUAGUUUAACUCUUGAGGUGCAUUUUUAUUUCACAGAUACUGGUAUUUCCUUUUCUGUGAAAUAGUUCUCCUGGAUAAUAAAAAUUCUCAGGAUGAAUUUUUGCAUUUGUAAAUAAUGCUUAUUUUUGUAAAUUACAUUUUAUUUAUUAUAAAGUUCUAAAAUUUGGGGCUAAAAUCAGUCACAUGUUACAGAAGACAUAACACCAAUAUGCUAUUAACCAAUCAAAGUACUACCAUAGUAUAUAUACAUACAUGAAAUAUGUAGAAUAGCGAGAGCAUCUGAUUUAAUCAUAAUUGAGAUGGUUCUUUGGAUCAAACAAAUAUAUUGUUUCUCCGGGGUGGGGGGGGGGGCAAUGCAUUAUUAUUAGGUAGAGCUUUACUAUGCUACUCUCUGUAAAAGUUCACAUUGCCAUACAGCUAAUAUAUAUUCUGUAAAAAUCUGAAGAUGUCAUUCAAGCUGCUAAUAUACAAGUCAUCAUGGCACCAUAUCACUGAAAUUGAUGAAGAAUUUCUAUACAAUUCCACAUUUUCUGAAGCCUGUGAAUGCAGUCUCAUCUCAUUUUCAUUUAAGAGUACUACUUUUACGUAUAAUCAUAUUGCCACCUUUUAUGUUGUAAAAGUCCAUUUUUAAAAGACAAAAAUAACAUUACAAAACCCACUUUUAUUACAGGCUGUAAUAGUAUAAAACAUGGAAUCACCAAAUUGUUAGAAUGAUAAAAUGCCAGAGGCAGUUUAUUGUUUUAUGCUACUAGUACUUGACAAAGCCAUUAAAAGUUAAGCUUUCAGUCGAGAAGUUGGUGAAAUUAAUGUACUUAGUAGUCAAGCAUUUUUUUCUUAGGCAAAAUGUCAGGAAAAAUGUAGCAUGAAAGUCGAUAUUCACAUUACCCCUACCCCUCUGUAGGGCAGGGUCCACCUAGAAGGGUAGUUGAAGCACCCUGUCCGUAAUGCCAAGGUGUGCAUAUGUUUACACAAGAGAGGAGGUGGUUACGUUUCUAAACUACUGGAUAAAUAAUGAUCUAAAUUUUCUAGUACACCAAAAGCAGACAACAGGUUUAAAUUGCUCAUUACCAAAUCAAUCUUUUCCUUACCAGCUAAGUCUAACACGUUUAUAAAUGACAGUCUAAGGCUUCUUCAGUUUGGGAGGAGGGGUCUGUUUGCCUGUUUGGAAUAAGCUGUCUGUCAUUCCUUGAUAACAAUUAGCAACUGUAGUAUUUCCAGCAAGUGAUUUUUAGUAGAAAGAAAUGUAUUGCUAAAUUAGAAUCCAUUAUUUAAUAGCAAAAGUUACCCAGAAAACUUUUUGGACUCAAACUUUCUAAGUACAUAAGGUAAUUUUUAAACAUCAUCACAAGUUUCUUACUACCUUUAUUUAAAAUGGAAAAAUAAUUCCUAUUAUAGACAAUUUUACCUUUAGAAAUAUUCAUUUGGUACACACAUGUAAUUUUAUCUGUGGUUUCUUUUAACAUAAUAUUAUCUAAGUUGAACUGCCUUUGCUAUGAAGAGAUGUAACAGAAUUAUAUGCCUACCUGGUACUCAAUGCUGAAUCAAACUGGUUCACCUAAGCGUAGUACUCUCCUUUCUGUGUCUCUGCUGCACUAAUUGCAGGGGGUGGGAGAGAAGGAGGAAGAAUGGAUUCUCAGGAGAAGUAGUUGGUAGGUGCAGCAGAUAGCAACACAACGUGGAUUUCUCAUUGCUUACAGUUUUGCCGUCCCUUCGUGGCAAAAGACACCACACUGUGGGAAAAAGCACAGCUCCCAUGGUAAACAAUUUAUACCUUUUUUUAAAAAUGCUAUUAUCGAGAAAUUUUGAUUACCAAAUACAUCUUUUGUGGUUUAUAUUGUAGUGGUGUGUAUAAAACACUUAGAAUUUUAUUUGUGGAAAUUGUACAUAGAAAAGUUGAAAUAGGUCUUCCCAAAUCCUAUGUGAAUGGAGAACCACGUUAAGACUGUACAUGACGUGCAAUAAACCAACUGGAAAAAGUG